rnacentral:rRNA from 1 species
CCUACGGGAGGCAGCAGUGGGGAAUAUUGCACAAUGGGGGAAACCCUGAUGCAGCGACGCCGCGUGAGUGAAGAAGUAAUUCGUUAUGUAAAGCUCUAUCAGCAGGGAAGAAAAUGACGGUACCUGAGUAAGAAGCCCCGGCUAACUACGUGCCAGCAGCCGCGGUAAUACGUAGGGGGCAAGCGUUAUCCGGAUUUACUGGGUGUAAAGGGAGCGUAGACGGCAGUGCAAGUCUGGAGUGAAAGGCGGGGGCUCAACCCCCGGACUGCUCUGGAAACUGGACGGCUGGGGUGCAGGAGAGGUAAGUGGAAUUGCUAGGGUAGCGGUGGAAUGCGGAGAUAUUAGGAGGGACACCAGUGGCGAAGGCGGCUUACUGGACUGUAACUGACGUUGAGGCUCGAAAGCGUGGGGAGCAAACAGGAUUAGAUACCCCUGGUAGUC